rnacentral:rRNA from 1 species
CACGUAGUUAGCCGGCGCUUCUUCCCCACCUACCGUCACCCGAAGGCUUCGUCGGUGGUGAAAGGGGUUUACAACCCGAGGCCUUCAUCCCCCACGCGGCGUCGCUGCGUCAGGCUUUCGCCCAUUGCGCAAGAUUCCCCACUGCUGCCUCCCGUAGGAGUCUGGGCCGUGUCUCAGUCCCAGUGUGGCCGAUCACCCUCUCAGGCCGGCUACCCGUCGUCGCCUUGGUAGGCCGUUACCCCACCAACUAGCUGAUAGGCCGCAAGCCCCUCCUCGACCGGAACCCCACCUCGCGGCGGAGAACCUUUCUGCCAAUCGGGAUGCCCCGACUGGCAAGUAUCCGGUAUUAGCCCCAGUUUCCCGGGGUUAUCCCGGUGUCGAGGGCAGGUUGCUCACGUGUUACUCACCCGUUCGCCGCUCGGAUACCUCCCCGAAGGGAGGCUCCUCGCUCGACUUGCAUGUGUGAGGCGCGCCGCCAGCGUCGUCUCGAGCCGAGGACGUCAACUCG